rnacentral:misc_RNA from 1 species
AGAUACUUGGAGCUGUGGUGAUUGCCUCACAUGCCUGUGCUUGAUGAAUUGCCCAUCGAAAUGCCAGUGCCAAUUUAAAAACGAAAGAAAAAGGACAGCACUAUGAAAGCUAAUGCUGCCAAAAUCUAGUAUUUCUAAGCUGCGGUGGUGUGCCUUCUAAAGUUCGUCUGGCUCUGCUGUGUUUUGGAUUACUCUUUAUAUCAUAAUAGCAAAAUUAUUUGUGACAAAAAGGUGAG